rnacentral:lncRNA from 1 species
GAAAAUAUUUCUUUCCUGCAUUUCCAUUACUGUUUGGGGAAAAUCUUUCCCAGUGGUUUCUGCCCUGGAAUAAGUAGAUUUUCUGUAUGUUUAGUGGCAUUUGGGCUUUUUUGCCUGAAGAAUGUAACAUCAUGUGGUCACAGUCAAGUAGCAAGAAUUGUAGAAAAGGGGGGCAUGAUGAAGUCUCACACCAUCUUACUGUGCACUGCCCAAGACUUGAAUCAUGGCUUUGUUCAGGGUAUCCGUACUGUAUGUGCUACCUGCCUGUUCAUCACUUAGUAUCCAUUUCAGUUACCACACCUACUGGCACAGUAUCCCAUCCUUGUGUUCAAGUCACCCUUAUUUUAUAUUAGAACAGCCCCAAUGCACAAGAAUAAGUGAUGCUGGCAACUGAGUUACCGUAUAUUGCUAUAAUUGUUCUAUUUAUUUAUUGUUGAUUUCUUACUGUGUCUAAUUUGUAAUUUAAACUCCAUGAAAAGUAUAUAGAUAGAGAGAGAGAGAGAAAGCAGUGUAUGAUGGUGUUAUUCACGGUUUCCGGCAUGCACCUGGAGGUCUUGGCACCUAUACUGCACCUGUAAGUAGGUGCCACUCUUC